rnacentral:rRNA from 1 species
UACGGAGGGUGCGAGCGUUGUCCGGAAUCACUGGGCGUAAAGCGCACGUAGGCGGCUUUCUAAGUCAGGGGUGAAAUCCUGGAGCUCAACUCCAGAACUGCCUUUGAUACUGGAGAGCUUGAGUCCGGAAGAGGUGAGUGGAACUCCGAGUGUAGAGGUGAAAUUCGUAGAUAUUCGGAAGAACACCAGUGGCGAAGGCGGCUCACUGGUCCGGUACUGACGCUGAUGUGCGAAAGCGUGGGGAGCAAACAGG